UGGCGAACGGGUGAGUAACACGUGGGUGAUCUGCCUUGCACUUCGGGAUAAGCCUGGGAAACUGGGUCUAAUACUGGAUAGGACCAUGCUUUAGUGUGUGUGGUGGAAAGUUUUUUCGGUGCAAGAUGAGCCCGCGGCCUAUCAGCUUGUUGGUGGGGUAAUGGCCUACCAAGGCGACGACGGGUAGCCGGCCUGAGAGGGUGUACGGCCACAUUGGGACUGAGACACGGCCCAG
rnacentral:rRNA from 1 species